rnacentral:rRNA from 1 species
UACGUAGGGUCCGAGCGUUGUCCGGAAUUACUGGGCGUAAAGAGCUCGUAGGCGGUGUGUCGCGUCGGCCGUGAAAACCUGGGGCUUAACUCUGGGCGUGCGGUCGAUACGGGCAUCACUGGAGUUCGGCAGGGGAGACUGGAAUUCCUGGUGUAGCGGUGAAAUGCGUAGAUAUACGGAGGAACACCUGCGGCGAAGGCGGGUAGCUGGGCCAACACUGACGCUGGAGAACGCGAAAGCUAGGGGAGCAAACGGG